rnacentral:pre_miRNA from 1 species
CUGGUUUUGAGACUAUCUGAAAGGGUGCCUCACAAAGGGAACGAGGACUCCUUUAAAUAGACUCAAUUUUCAC